AAAAAAAAAGGAAGAGCCAAGAGAAGCCCCCUUUUUUUCCUCUUUUCCUUUUUUUCCUACUCGACGUGGAUGGGUAAACCGAGAUUACGAAAGCAGGCGUGAGCUGUCGGGUCAACGAGAUAAGACUUAUCUGGCCCCAAGAUUGAAUGUAUCGUCCUGCUAUAGAGCAAUGACCAGGGCUUCAUAGCAAUAUUAAAGUUGGCCAAGGCUAUGCUGGUGUAUGUGAUCCUAGUACCAUGCAGUCACCAGUGAACUGCCCCGAACCAGAGCGUCACCAUAGACAAGAAAAAUUAUGCAAAUGAAGUAGCGCCUUGGAAAGCCUGUUCAAAUCAAGUGGUUGCCUCUCCUCCUCCCCCAACCAAAUGAGGUAGUGCGUCUAGAACGAAAAAUAUAUACAUAUAUAUUUAUAUCUCUACAAAAAUAGCACAGUCCUUCCCUUAAGUGUUUUACAUCUUUUCUGUUAUUAUGUACUCCGUGGCCUGCAGUGGAAUUAUGAACACAGUGAAUGAGAUGUGGGAGAGAGAGAGAGAGAGGGAGAGAGAGGUGGAAUACAAAGGAAUAAUCAGGCCCCGACCAUGCUGCAUUUCCAUUUCCAUGGGACAUAAAGGGCUUCUAUCCACGGCUUAAUCAUUAACCCGCAUUUCUGCACAUUUUGGCGAAAAAAAGGAGACAGCAGUGCGUUUUCAUUUUCUGCGCCAGAUUUGAAGCUGUCAGCGGAUUUAUGGCUUGACACGGCCGUGCUCUGGAAGACAACCCCUACGCCAGCUUUUGCCACCGCACCUGAACUUUUCCCUGACCCAGGACAGAGGAAUGGAGUCUUGAGUGGAAAGUUAUUUGGAGUUCAAAAACAAGGAGAAGUUGGAAAUCAAAAGUCCUCAGCUGGUACCCUACUGAUUUCACUUUUUUUCUAACCUACUACUUUCCAGAUUUGCAUUUUGCUCGGGAGAAGAAGAAGAAGCAGAAGAAAACAAAGCACAAAGAAAGCAGUUAAAACUUUCUCCUUGAGCCAAAAGUAGCUGAUUGAUUACGUUUUAAAUCUCGGGCUGUUUUCGCAUUAAACAACUGUAUCAGAUGUAUUUACACAAAUCAAGGCUCCUUAUCACUGUCAGCGAAGAGGAGUUAGAGGCAGAGACCUCUGGAUAUUAGCCAGACGGCGGUCCAUAUCUUCCCACAAUGUUGACACUGGGAGCUCUUAACAGCCAGGCUUGGGUUACCGACACUCUCAGACCAAGAUAACUCUUUCUGCGAGGUUUACACAGCCCAACAUCAAGGCUAAAGCAAAAUUCAACGCCUGAAGCUGAGGGGAGCCACCCUGAUGAGCCCACACCGAGACUGUGGCGGAUUAGGACGACUGACAUGUUUUUGCAUAAGAUUGUUGUAAUAAAGAUAUUUUAAUUUA